rnacentral:rRNA from 1 species
CCUACGGGAGGCAGCAGUGGGGAAUAUUGGGCAAUGGAGGAAACUCUGACCCAGCAACGCCGCGUGAAUGAUGAAGGUCUUCGGAUUGUAAAGUCCUUUUCUAAGGGAAGAAGAAAGUGACGGUACCUUAGGAAUAAGCCUCGGGUAACUACGUGCCAGCAGCCGCGGCAAUACGUAGGAGGCAAGCGUUAUCCGGAAUGACUGGGGGUAAAGGGUGCGUAGGUGGUUUGACAAGUUGGUAGCGUAACUCCGAGGCUUAACCUCGGCACUACUACCGAAACUGUUGGACUCGAGUGCAGGAGGAGCAAAUGGAAUGCGUGGUGUAGCGGUGGAAUGCGUAGAUAUUAGGAGGAACACCAGUGGCGAAGGCGAUUUGCUGGACUGUGACUGACACUGAGGCACGAAAGCGUGGGGAGCGAACAGGAUUAGAUACCCUAGUAGUC